CCUACGGCGGCAGCAGUGGGGAAUAUUGGACAAUGGGCGAAAGCCUGAUCCAGCCAUGCCGCGUGUGUGAAGAAGGCCUUCGGGUUGUAAAGCACUUUCAGUGGGGAAGAAAGCCUUGGGGCUAAUACCCUCGAGGAAGGACAUCACCCACAGAAGAAGCACCGGCUAACUCCGUGCCAGCAGCCGCGGUAAUACGGAGGGUGCGAGCGUUAAUCGGAAUUACUGGGCGUAAAGCGCGCGUAGGCGGUCUGAUAAGCCGGUUGUGAAAGCCCCGGGCUCAACCUGGGAACGGCAUCCGGAACUGUCAGGCUAGAGUGCAGGAGAGGAAGGUAGAAUUCCCGGUGUAGCGGUGAAAUGCGUAGAGAUCGGGAGGAAUACCAGUGGCGAAGGCGGCCUUCUGGACUGACACUGACGCUGAGGUGCGAAAGCGUGGGUAGCAAACAGGAUUAGAUACCCCAGUAGUC
rnacentral:rRNA from 1 species